AACGAACGCUGGCGGCAGGCUUAACACAUGCAAGUCGAGCGCCCCGCAAGGGGAGCGGCAGACGGGUGAGUAACGCGUGGGAAUCUACCCAUCUCUACGGAAUAACGCAUGGAAACGUGUGCUAAUACUGUAUACGUCCUUCGGGAGAAAGAUUUAUCGGAGAUGGAUGAGCCCGCGUUGGAUUAGCUAGUUGGUGUGGUAAAGGCCUACCAAGGCGACGAUCCAUAGCUGGUCUGAGAGGAUGAUCAGCCACACUGGGACUGAGACACGGCCCAGACUCCUACGGGAGGCAGCAGUGGGGAAUAUUGGACAAUGGGCGCAAGCCUGAUCCAGCCAUGCCGCGUGAGUGAUGAAGGCCCUAGGGUUGUAAAGCUCUUUCACCGGUGAAGAUAAUGACGGUAACCGGAGAAGAAGCCCCGGCUAACUUCGUGCCAGCCGCCGCGGUAACAC
rnacentral:rRNA from 1 species